CUGUCAGCACAGAGCCCGACGCGGGGCUCGAACUCCUGGACUGUGAGAUCAUGACCUGAGCCGAAGUUGGACGCUGAACCGACUGAGCCACCCAGGCGCCCCUACAGAGUUGAUUUUAACAGGUUGAAACAUUCUUGCAUUCUGGGAGUAAACCUCACUUGCUCAAGAGAUGCAUACUGAAGUAUUCACUGGUAAAAUGAUAUCUGGGAUUUGCUGCAAAAUACUUCAGCAGAGAAAACCAAAAAGGAAGAGGGGAAGAGCAGAAUGUUGACACCUGCUGAAGCCAAUGCACAGAUGCUCUUUGAAAAUUCUCGCUUUGUAUUUGUAAAAUUUUCAUAAUAAAUUUUAAAUUUAAUAAUC